rnacentral:rRNA from 1 species
CGAGGCAAACCGGGGAAACUGAAACAUCUCAGUACCCCGAGGAAAAGAAAUCAACCGAGAUUCCCCCAGUAGCGGCGAGCGAACAGGGAGCAGCCCAGAGUCAACAUCAAUAUUUACCGCAGGAGAAAGAUCUGGAAAGGCCGGCAAUAAAGGGUGAUAGCCCCGUAUCUGAAGCGGUAAGUGUUGUGAACUCGAAGAGUAAGGCGGGACACGUGUUAUCCUGUCUGAAUAUGGGGGGACCAUCCUCCAAGGCUAAAUACUCCUGACUGACCGAUAGUGAACCAGUACCGUAAGGGAAAGGCGAAAAGAACCCCGGCGAGGGGAGUGAAAUAGAACCUGAAACCGUGUACGUACAAGCAGUAGGAGCACCCGAAAAGGUGUGACUGCGUACCUUUUGUAUAAUGGGUCAGCGACUUAUAUUCUGUAGCAAGGUUAACCGCAUAGGGGAGCCGUAGGGAAACCGAGUCUUAACUGGGCGUUAAGUUGCAGGGUAUAGACCCGAAACCCGGUGAUCUAGCCAUGGGCAGGUUGAAG